rnacentral:lncRNA from 8 species
AUGAGUGUACAUUUUCCCGCUGAAUCUUGGUCUUUACCCUACUACACCCGUGACAGAAUCUCCCACCAACCACGGACCAAGCAGCGGAGAAGGGAGCAGCAACAGUGCCCAGUAGAAUCAUGGACAUGGGAGGAAAUUCUGGACGGGGCUGGACCUUGGCACCAGGCUGGGGAAUAUCGUCGCCCACCGGAGGAGAUAGAGGCAGCCAAGGCGAAGAGGCGCUGGUAUGAAGCCUUGUACACGCCGACGGGGAAGCACGAGAGGCACCCCCNNNNNNNNNNNNNNNNNNNNCCCUGUGCUUUGACCUCUUUCUCCCCUCUCUCUCCAGAUGAAAUCUCGCGUCUUGUGACGGCCGGCCGCCCAACAACCUGCCCACUUGACCCUAUCCCCUCCUCUCUUCUCCAGACCAUUUCCGGAGACCUUCUCCCCUUCCUCACCUCGCUCAUCAACUCAUCCUUGACUGCUGGCUACGUCCCUUCCGUCUUCAAGAGAGCGAGAGUUGCACCCCUUCUGAAAAAACCUACACUCGAUCCCUCCGAUGUCAACAACUACAGACCAGUAUCCCUUCUUUCUUUUCUCUCCAAAACUCUUGAACGUGCCGUCCUUGGCCAGCUCUCCUGCUAUCUCUCUCAGAAUGACCUUCUUGAUCCUAAUCAGUCAGGUUUCAAGACUGGGCAUUCAACUGAGACUGCUCUUCUCUGUGUCACGGAGGCUCUCCGCACUGCUAAAGCUAACUCUCUCUCCUCUGCUCUCAUACUUCUAGACCUAUCUGCUGCCUUUGAGACUGUGAACCAUCAGAUCCUCCUCUCCACCCUCUCCGAGAAGAGAAUCUCCGGCGCGGCCCACGCUUGGAUUGCGUCCUACCUGACAGGUCGCUCCUACCAGGUGGCGUGGCGAGAAUCUGUCUCCGCACCAUGCGCUCUCACCACUGGUGUCCCCCAGGGCUCUGUUCUAGGCCCUCUCCUAUUCUCGCUAUACACCAAGUCACUUGGCUCUGUCAUAUCCUCACAUGGUCUUCUCCUAUCAUUGCUAUGCAGACGACACACAAUUAAAUCUUCUCCUUUCCCCCUUCUGAUAACCAGGCGGCGAAUCGCAUCUCUGCAUGUCUGUCAGACAUAUCAGUGUGGAUGA